CCAGCAGCCGCGGUAAUUCCAGCUCCAAUAGCGUAUAUUAAAGUUGUUGCAGUUAAAAGCUCGUAGUUGAAUUUCGGGACUAAUAUGUCGGUCGUACUUUGUACGUACUAGCAUUAUUGGUUUCUCCCUUCUGACGAACCACGAUGUCAUUAAUUUGGUGUCGCGGGAAAUCAGGACUGUUACUUUGAAAAAAUUAGAGUGUUUAAAGCAAGCUCGCGCUUGAAUACAUUAGCAUGGAAUAAUGAAAUAGGACGUUUGAUUCUAUUUUGUUGGUUUCUAGGAUCGACGUAAUGAUUAAUAGGGAUAGUUGGGGGCAUUAGUAUUCAAUUGUCAGAGGUGAAAUUCUUGGAUUUAUUGAAGACUAACUACUGCGAAAGCAUUUGCCAAGGAUGUUUUCAUUAAUCAAGAACGAAAGUUAGGGGAUCGAAGACGAUCAGAUACCGUCGUAGUCUUAACCAUAAACUAUGCCGACUAGGGAUCGGAUGAUGUUAAUUUUUAAUGACUCAUUCGGCGCCUUACG
rnacentral:rRNA from 1 species